GAUCUGGUUGGGUGGUCCGCUUAACAGCGUGUACUGUCUGAUUGGGUCUUACCUCUUGGUGAGCCAGUGUGCCCUUCAUUGGUGUGCGCUGGUGAACCAGGACUUUUACCUUGAGAAAAUUAGAGUGUUCAAAGCAGGCAAUCGAGCCUUGAAUACUUCAGCAUGGGAUAAUGGAACAGG
rnacentral:rRNA from 1 species